UACAGAGGGUGCGAGCGUUGGUCGGAAUUACUGUGCGUAAAGCGCGCGCAGGCGGCUUCUUACGUCCGCUGGUCAAAGACCGGGGCUCAACCCCGUGUCAGCCAGGGAUACUGGGAGGCUGGAGACAGGUAGAGGCAAGCGGAAUUCCGGGUGUAGCGGUGGAAUGCGUAGAGAUCCGGAAGAACACCGGAGGCGAAGGCGGCUUGCUGGACCUGGUCUGACGCUGAGGCGCGAAAGCGUGGGGAGCGAACAGG
rnacentral:rRNA from 1 species